AGUGAACGCUGGCGGUAGGCCUAACACAUGCAAGUCGAACGGCAGCACAGUAGGAGCUUGCGCUUACGGGUGGCGCGUGGCGGACGGGUGCGGUAGACAUCGGAAUCCACUGGUUCGUGGGGGAUAACGCCGGGAAACCUACGCGAAUACCGCAUACGACGUCCGGGUGAAAGCAGGCGAUCUUCGGACCAUUCGCGAGUGAAUGAGGCGAUGUCGGAUGAGGUAGUUGGGGGGGUAAAGGCCCACCAAGGCGACGAUCCGUAGCGGGUCUGAGGGGAUGAUCAGCCACCUUGUAACUGAGACACGGUCCCGACUCCUAGGGUGGGACGCGGUGGGGAAUCUUGGGCGAGGGGCGAGAGGCUGAUCCAGCCAUACCGCGUGGGUGCUGACGGCGUUCGGCUUGGAAAGCCCUGUUGUUGGGAGAGAAAUGCAGCACGUUAACCCCCCGCUGUUCUGACGGUACCCAAAGAAGAAGCACCGGCUAACUUCGUG
rnacentral:rRNA from 1 species